rnacentral:rRNA from 1 species
UGGGGAAUUUUGGACAAUGGGGGAAACCCUGAUCCAGCCAUCCCGCGUGUGCGAUGAAGGCCUUCGGGUUGUAAAGCACUUUUGGCAGGAAAGAAACGUCAUGAGUUAAUACCCCGUGAAACUGACGGUACCUGCAGAAUAAGCACCGGCUAACUACGUGCCAGCAGCCGCGGUAAGACGUAGGGUGCAAGCGUUAAUCGGAAUUACUGGGCGUAAAGCGUGCGCAGGCGGUUCGGAAAGAAAGAUGUGAAAUCCCAGAGCUCAACUUUGGAACUGCAUUUUUAACUACCGGGCUAGAGUGUGUCAGAGGGAGGUGGAAUUCCGCGUGUAGCAGUGAAAUGCGUAGAUAUGCGGAGGAACACCGAUGGCGAAGGCAGCCUCCUGGGAUAACACUGACGCUCAUGCACGAAAGCGUGGGGAGCAAACAGG